rnacentral:tRNA from 1 species
GAACCCGUAGCUCAAUGGAAGAGCGUUCGAAUUAAAUUCCAAAUAUCGCGGGUUUGAAUCCCAGGUUUG